rnacentral:rRNA from 1 species
GACGAACGCUGGCGGCGUGCCUAAUACAUGCAAGUAGGACGCAGUUGCGAACGGGUGAGUAACGCGUAGGUAACUACCUAUUAGAGGGGGCUAACUAUUGGAAACGAUAGCUAAUACCGCAUAUUAGUAGAUGGACCUGCGUUGUAUUAGCUAGUAGGUAGGGUAAUGGCCUACCUAGGCAACGGUACAUAGCCGACCGUGAGGGGGGGUCGGCCACACUGGGACUGAGGCACGGCCCAGACUCCUACGGGAGGCAGCAGUAGGGAAUCGUCGGCAAUGGGGGGAACCCUGACCGAGCAACGCCGCGUGAGGGAAGAAGGUUUUCGGAUCGUAAAGCUCUGUUGUUAAGGAAGCGGUACUUAACCAGAAAGGGACGGCUAACUACGUGCCAGCAGCCGCGGUAAUUC